UGAAAGGCAACAUGAGAGAAGGCCUGUCUCCUAAGGCCGGCCAAUGAAAUUGAACUGCCCGUACAAAAGCUGGCAUUAACAAGCUAGACAAAAAGACCCUGUGGAACUUUAACAAUUUGUUUAUACACACUAAACAAUAGUUUCAGUUGGGACAACUUUAGAAAAAAUAAACCUCUUAUUACAUUAAGACCAACAAGUCUAAAAAUUUUACCCUCGACCCAGUCAUACUGAUUAACGAAACAAGCUACCCCAGGGAUAACAGCGCCACCUUCUCAAAGAGUCCAUAUCAACAAGAAGAUCUACGACCUCGAUGUUGGAUCAGGGUACCCAGACGGUGCAGCAGCUGUCAAAGGUUCGUUUGUUCAACGACUAACACCCU
rnacentral:rRNA from 1 species